CCUACGGGUGGCAGCAGUGGGGAAUUUUGGACAAUGGGCGCAAGCCUGAUCCAGCCAUUCCGCGUGAGUGAAGAAGGCCUUCGGGUUGUAAAGCUCUUUCGCAAGGGAAGAAAACUUAUCCUCUAACAUAGGAUGAGGUUGACGGUACCUUGAUAAGAAGCACCGGCUCACUACGUGCCAGCAGCCGCGGUAAUACGUAGGGUGCGACCGUUAGUCGGAAUUACGGAGCGUAAAGCGUGCGCCGGCUGUGAAAGCCCCGGGCUCAACUUGGGAACUGCGUUUGAAACUACAAGACUAGAAUAGGUCAGAGGGGGGUAGAAUUCCACGUGUAGCAGUGAAAUGCGUAGAGAUGUGGAGGAAUAUCAAUGGCGAAGGCAGCCCCCUGGGAUCAUAUUGACGCUCAUGCACGAAAGCGUGGGGAGCAAACAGGAUUAGAUACCCUUGUAGUC
rnacentral:rRNA from 1 species